GGGGGUGUAGCUCAGUUGGUUAGAGCGCCGGCCUGUCACGCCGGAGGCCGCGGGUUCGAGCCCCGCCAUUUUUU